CCGGAACCAUAAAUCUUGCACUCCUUUCAGCAGAGGCACAGAGCCAUCAGGAAGAAAAACGCUGCCCCUACUUCAACCAGUUUGCUAACUGUUAAGACAGCCUCCUAGGGAGGAAGAAGAUGGCAUAAUGAACCUCCUCAGUCAAACUAAACUCAGGAGCACAGGAUCUUCCUUGCACUCCUCAAUACUUCGAGCAAACAGAGGGCUGAUGGGAAGAUUGACAACGUCAGGCAACUAGGGGUUUCCUGAGAGAUUUCUGUACAGAGAAGCUCAGACACAGCUGCUGAAAGACGAGGAUGAAGGUUCAGAUGAGCAGAGUAAGAAUGCAGCCAUGCAGAGAUUUCUGACCUGAAGUGGAAGUAGUAAACCUGAAAUCCCAACAGGGCUGUGGCCAAUCUCAUCAGAGAAAGAUCGCAGACAUCUCCAGACUUCCGUCAAGCUCUGCUCAGCCAAUGUACCAUGCUUGGACAAACAUGGUGCAGUUGCCAAUUGAUCUGUCAUAUUGUGGUUUUCAAAGAUGAACUGAGAAUGCUGUGAAAGGAGCUUGCUGUUGAAGAGCUGCCGAAAGACCUGGAGUAGGGACUUACAUUUUCAGCGUGGCUAACUUUCACUGACAUUGAAGAUGUCUCACUCAGAAGAUCAUCAAACCCAUGUUUUCUCUUCCUCUUCAGCAGACAAAGCUUCAUUCAUUUGAUGUGGAGAAGCUGAAGAAACUAAUUUUCUUCUUGAAAUAAGUGUGAAUUCUUUUUAUCUAGUGAUUUAACAACUCCUGACAAUGCUUACAUUUCACUUCAGAAAAAUUAGCUGUUUUCCUAAGUUCAGUCUUUCACUAAGUCUUUUAGUAUUCCCUUUCUCAACUCAGGCUAAUAUAGAAAGAAGUUAUGUAAUAGCUUCUUCAAAAUGACCUAUCAGUUGUACUAAUAAAAAAAAAACUUUCACAUUUACUACAAUUAGCAUUAAAAAAAAAAAAAACAAAUUUUUUGAAUCUAACACCGCAAAGAAUGAAAAUAAGAUGUGCUGAAUUCUUACUGAAUUAGAAGUCAAUUUAAAGCUCUCAGUGCAGUAUUUUUAAAAGUUUGUGAAGGAAAGACAUGAGGAAAAGGGUAAAUGAAGAUGGAUUAUAGAUGAUGGUGAUUUUACAGUGAAGACACGGAGAUCGUUUUUGGUCUAAAUAUCCACUACUUGUAAGUAGUAACAGCUUCUGCCCCCAACUGCAUGGUACUUCACAGACACACAGAAAGUCCUCCCAGCAUUUGCUUUAUACAAAUCAAAAUUCCUGUUUCCUUACUCAACUUUAUUUAAGUGUGUACUGGCAAGAAAUGUUCCUUUCACAUAAGAUGCCACUGAAAAGGAUGUUAGAAGCUCAACUCAUUUACCUUCAGAAAUAUCAAGAAUCUGAGCACAGGUAGUCUGAACAUAAAGAAUUCCAGUAAUAGAGAUCUGACAUCACCUCCUGACAACACCUUUCUGUGCUUCAUUAGUCCUACUUUUAGAAAACUCCAAACCUGAAUUUAUCUUUUUGCAUUUUAAAACUCAUUUCUUGUUCUGUUCGUGGUAACCUGGAGAAAAAAUAAUCCUUUUCUUUCUGAGGCAGCCCAGAAGACACACCUGAAGGCACGUUUCUUCUCAGACUUUUUUCCUGUAGACUAAACAACACCAGUUCUUCAAACUUUCCUCAGAAAUGUUUUAGGCCCUGAUCACUCUCACUGUUCUCCUUUGGAUUCACCAGAGUUAACCCACUUCCUUUGUGAAUUAUAAUGCUAAAUGCUAACUACAAUAACCUAGGUGAGACCUUAAUGAUGCUGAGUCCUCUUAUUUCCCAAGUUUUACAAGCUACAUUUCUGAUUUAGCAUUGAAAGUUGUCCUACUCUAUCCCCCUAACCCUCUUCUAAGGGACUAGCCAUUUAUUUCCUAUUCCAAGCUGUUAAAGCUGUCUAUUCCCACCUAAAUAUGAAAUUUCACCUUUCUCCAUUUCGAAUCUCAUCCAAUUGUCCAGAUUGCUUCUCCAACUGGCCAAGACCAUUUUGAAUUUGAAUUCUAUACUCUAACUUGUUGUUACCAGCCUACUGCCAUCUGUAGAUAGAAUAAACAUAUUCUGUAUUCCAUCCUCAACUCACAAAUGAAAAUACCAAGUAAUGCAUGACACAGGAGAGACACUUGUACAAAGCAGUUGAUUUAUCUUUCCUGUUUGACAGUGUUAAUUACUUUUGCUAUUUUGCAACUAUGUUGCUAACUACUGUUCAAGUAUGAUUUCCAAAUAAUGCUGCACUCAUCUUAAAAACAUGGUGUUCAUAUAGUCUCACUGCUUUGCUUAUAAGAAAUGUAGCAUUUAGCUAUGACAGGUAAAGAUUAUUGAAGACCUUGUUAAAGUCAAGAUAAUUAACAUCUAUUAUUUCUCUCCUAUUCCGAGCCCUACUUGCUCAAACCAGAAGGAAAACAAAUUAGUUUGACGUGGGCUGCUCUCAACAUAUCUGUUUUGUCUGUUAGCCAUUUCUUUUCUGUCUUCCAGAUGUUUACACAUAACCUAUGUGAUUAUUUGUUUAAUAUUUGGUCCAGUAUUUUAUUUUUUUUUUAGGAAUUAAAGUUAAAUUUACUAACAUUAAAUUGCCCUGCUCUUUCUUUUUAUCUCAUGAGUGCUAAAUUUGUCCUUUUUCAAUCUCUUACACUCUGAGUGAACAUCUCUGGGCUAUCAGAGAUGACUGCUGAAAGGUUC
rnacentral:lncRNA from 1 species